rnacentral:rRNA from 1 species
CAGUAGCCGCGGGAAUACGAGGGGGGCAAGCGUUGUUCGGAAUUAUUGGGCGUAAAGGGUGCGUACGUGGUUUGGCAAGUCUUGUGUGAAAUCUUCGGGCUCAACCCGAAGCCUGCACGAGAAACUGCCGGGCUUGAGUAUUGGAGAGGUGAGUGGAAUUUCCGGUGUAGCGGUGAAAUGCGUAGAUAUCGGAAGGAACACCUGUGGCGAAAGCGGCUCACUGGACAAUUACUGACGCUGAGGCACGAAAGCUAGGGGAGCAAACAGGAUUAGAUACCCGCGUAGUCCCUGUCUCUUAUAC